UGGUAUGGUAAGGUGUGCUGUGUGGUGUUAUGGUAUGGUAAGGUGUGCUGUGCUGUAUUGUGUUAUGAUAUGAUAUGGUAAGGUGUGCUGUGCUGUGUUGUGUUAUGGUUUGGUACGGUAAGGUGUGUUGUGUUGUGGUUUGGUGUGUUGUGUUAUGGUAUGGUAAGGUGUGCUGUGUUGUGUUGUGGUAUGGUAAGGUGUGUUGUAUUGUGUUGUGUUAUGAUACGGUAAAGUGUGUUGUGUUGUGUUAUGAUAUGGUAAGGCAUGCUGUGUUGUGUGAUGGUAUGGUAAGGUGUGGUAAGGUGUGGUAAGGUGUGCUGUGCUGUGUUGUGUUAUGAUAUGAUAUGGUAAGGUGUGUUGUGCUGUGUUGUGUUGUGGUAUGGUAAGGUGUGCUGUGUUGUGCUAUGUUGUGUUGUGGUAUGGUAAGGUGUGCUGUGUUGUAUUGUGGUAUGGUAAGGUGUGCUGUGUUGUGUUAUGAUAUGAUAUGGUAAGGUAUGUUGUGCUGUGUUGU
ensembl:lncRNA